GUCAUCAUCAACAAAAAUAAGGUGAGUCUAACAAGGUGUUGCAGUGAUUGGAGAGAUAGAAGACUACGCAGAGCACUAUUGUAAGUAUUAACUUCUAUGAUUAGGUUAAUUUGAGAUUGUAUUAGUGAGUGUACUUUUGUAUUUCAAUUCAUAUACUAGAUUAUUUAUCGUCGUGAGGACGGUUGUGGAUGUUUCCUAGUGGUUGAGUUUUACCACGUUAAAUCUCGUGUCUCCAUAUUCUUUAUUGUUUUUUUAGGGUUAUUUUGUAUUUGGUCCCUCUAGAAAAUAGCUAUUUAGCAACUGGUAUAGAGUUUUUCAUUUAUUAGUAAAUAGUUCUAUUUUUGUCAGUUGACUGAGAUCAAACCAUCCUUAAUUUUCUAAUACCUAAACUACCCAUGCACGUGCUAGCCACAUGUUUUCCUAAAUUUUCAACAUCACUAUGAAAAAAAAUUUGAUAAUUGAACUUUACAAAAGAGGAAAGGUUGUUUGUUUUUAUCAAAUUAAGCAUAGUAAUUGGUUACCAAAGGAAAAAAAUAAAAAUAAAAUGAGACAUAGUAAUUGAAAAAAGAAAUGGGUAAUGGACUAAUGAUGUUCAUUUUGCAACUUUGUUAAUGGAUUUGAGGUUUUGGAGAAUACAAAAAUUGGGGUUUGUACUUUCUUUUGGGAUUCAAAUUUGAGAAGGGGGAGUGAGAAUGAUAAUUGAUUAGAUCUGAAUUUGACAUUGCUUGAUCAACUAAGAAUUGUAGAGCAAGUCUCCCAUAUGCCCAUUCUUUCAAUUGAGAAACAAGUUUGUCAUAAGCAAAUUGUUGUAAUUGAUAAGCAGCAAAAACAGUUUUAGCAAAUGAGGUAGUAUGCAUCAUGACCAUAGGAGGAGGGCAUUAGAGCCAAUUUAAUAGCUUCCUUCCUUCACCCACCAUUUUAUUCGACUCCGCCACCAACAUUCCUAACACCACCACCAUCAACUCUUGCUAUUGAAGUGAUAGAUAUGUAUCUCCAGAAACAAAACUCUAUACAAAGAAAGAAAAUUCCUACAAUUCAAGUUAUAGAUUUGAAUCUCCAACACCACCACCACCACCAUCAACACUGCUACUCAUCCCUUGAUUCACUGGUUGGACCUGAUUCCGGUGAGUUAACAAACUCCGGCGAAGAGUUUUUCAGAUGGUUGAUUGAAUGAUUUUUUUUUUCCCAAAAGAAAUUAUACACAUAAUUUUUUUUUUUUUGCACAGUAUACACAUAAUUUUUGUUUUUUUCACAGUAGAAGAAGAUGAAAAGAAGUAAUUACUAAUGAAAUCAGGAAAUUAACAGAAUUUUAAAUCUUUUGGAGAGUCUAGAUCCAAGCAACCUUUGUCACAUAUCCUUAUCUAUGCAUUUAGAUGAUCUUGAAAUGUUGAAUUAAAUGGGUUAAUGAUAUGUCGACAUGUGGUAGGAAUUUUUUCUUAAUAAUCUUUGUAGGAAAUUAGAUUCAUAUAAUAAAACACCAUAUUGAAGGGUAAUUUUGGUAUUUUAAAAUAAUAGAUGGUUUGACCUCAGUCAACUGAGUUGACUGACAGUUAAAUAACGGAAAUAAGACUAUUUGCUAAUAAAUGAAAAACUCUAUACCACUUGCUAAAUAGCUAUUUUGUAGAGAGAUCAAAUACAAAAUAACUCUUUUUUUUUUUAUUGUUUAUUGUUUAUUGUUGAAUUGCACUUAUUUGGGGCUUACAAAUACAUGAGCAUUAAGACUAUUUAAUUGUAUGCAAAAUUACAUUUUCAUGAGUUCUGCUUUCAGUGUCUUGUAUUUCACAUGACUUAGGAGUCGGACAUGGAUAUAUAUGGGCAUUCACCAUUCACCAUUCAAUUGUUUCUUUGUUUGUUAUUGAAAAAUAUAUUGAAAAUUUUGUCUCCUUUUAUUAUAAACAAAAAAUGUUGUGAUAUUGAAGUAAACUAAAUAUGUGAUACUAGCUUUUCAAUUCACUCGAUUGCAAAAUCAUUCAUUUGUGUAACAUGAUCUUGUGUUCACUCUGUCAUUAAGGUUGAACAAAAUUUACAGGCUUGAUUGAUGGUUUGGAGUGGUUCUAUCCAGAAGUUGCAUUGAGAGGUGAUCAUGGACCUAGAGGAUAUGUGUUUCAUUUAGGAAAUGGAAACUUAUGUUUGAUUGUGAGUUCCAUUGCUUGUGUAAAGUUUCCAGAUACAAAUAACUAUGAUCAGAACCAAAAGAUCUUUCUUCGUGCUGAGGUUGAGGCUUCAGCCAUUUAUAACAACCCUGAUGUAAUGUAAGUGCAAAGUGUGUUUAAUGAAUUCUUCCUGUUGUACUUUUGCCUCACCA
rnacentral:lncRNA from 1 species